CAAGCGGGUCUUCGCUUCAAGGAAUUCCGUUUAGGGUUACAUACAAUGAAGAGGUAAGGCAAGUUUUCUUUCUCUAAUAGGAUGAACUUUAUGUUGAAGUAGGUCAGUCGGAGAGUGAGCCCGUGUCCUCCUCGGGGAAAGGCAAGCCAUAUAGUAUCAGUCCAAAAAAGACCCACCCUUUAUAUACCCCUUACUUUAGUUUCACCCUGAAUAUACCCUUUGAGAAGUGUGUGUUGGGUUGCUAUUUUCAUUUAAUCUAUUGGGAAUUACCUGCCAUCUAGAGUUGAGUUGAAGUGCCUCUUAUUGCCUUUACAAACAAGUAGAAGUCCCUUCCUUACCGUUCGAGGAUUGACUCUAUCGAGUGUCUUGAUAUCAGACUAGUUAUCCAGUUCCCGAGUCACAUCUAUUUUCUCGGAUUUUGAUGGGUUACACCUACGGAGCAAGUAUUAUUUGAAGCUGUAGAUGAGUCAGCAAGUACUGUUGUUGCUAACAAGAUCAAGCAUAUAAGCGGGGACAUCCGCCUCUCUUCAGAUGCCAUAGCUAUAUCAUAAGAUUAUGGAACGCAGAAGGAUUAGUCUAAACAUCUGCCUACGUAAGUUUCCUUACAAGAAAAAUAGAGCCCUUCCUUUCUUAUCUCGUAUAUUGACUAGAGGCAUAUUCGAUUGCAGUUUCUUCUUUCGGGAUCGGCUAGUAAAUAAGGUGAAUUGCGAACCCGAACAGCUAGUCCUAUUUAUUUAUUGAAGAUAAGAACAAAGCAAGAGGCAGAUUCGAAAGUCAGGUGCCAAGGUAAAGGCUAAGCGACGUAUCUUUCACAGACCCUAGGUGAACCACUUUUACUUGAACUUUCGAGAAGACAGUGAAAACAGAAAACUCGCUUUAGGAUUUCACGUGCAAGCUUUCCUAAAUCCAUUUGACCAGAGCUGGGAUCAAAACGACUUAUAUAAGGAAGGAUAUACCACCAAACAAACCAACCUAAACUGAUUGAACUCAAGCAAUCGAAGCGACUUUCUAUUCCACUGCUGCAUUCUAUAUGAAACACUUGCUGCACUUGCUGCUUCCUUGAGAUUGGAUUCUGCCCUGAACUGAACUAUUAACUUGCUAAAAAACAAAAAGAAUUGAGCAAUACAGUAUGAUAGAAGAUAGUAAACAAGAUGAUAGAAGAUAGUAAACAAGCUUAUUACCUUUGGCUUGUAACCUGAGUCCUGACUUACUGCUUACUUUCAUCAUAUUAAUAUAGGCAGCCGAGCUUGUAAGUUGCCCUUGCUUGUUCGCUACUACUCUGGAAUAAAGAAUGCUUAUUCCCUCGCUUGUUCACAACUAAUAUAAGUGUGGGACGCUGACUUAUCUUUCUAUCUAUAUAUGGAUAACUGCUAUCUUCCUAUAUAUGGAUAACUGCUAUCUUCUUUUCAAAGCUAACUAGCGCACAACAUCUUGAGAAAGGGCUAACGCACCCGCUCAAGCAAAUAAGCUAACGUUAUAGGUCGUACCCAUUCCAGUAAGCAAUAUAGGCCGUACCCACUAAAGUGAGUGCAGUGUUUUUACUUUCAACAGGGCGCCAUCGUCAGCUGCCCUUGCUCCACUAGCUUUAAACCUAGAUCCGUGCUUUAAGUGUUUAUUUCCUUAAUGGCAUUCUCUCUACUUCGACUUCGAACCAACUUCGGCUACUGUCUCUGUUUCUUUAGCUCCAGAUCUCAAUUCCCUAUCUGCUGACCGUUUCCCUGGCUCUCAACCUGUUUGACUCGAUUGGGUAUAUUCGACGAUCUAUUUACCAUAAACCUAAGUAAGUGCUGUUAGAGUGGCAUUUCCACUAAUCUAUUUAUUGGGGCAAAAAGAAUUCAAUCAAGCAACAAAAGAGUAGGAACACCCACAGCAGCAACGAGUAAUUCCACUCAAAAGUCGGGGAACAACGCCCUAAUUGAACUCAGCAGCCUUGUCUAUAUAGAGAACAAUAAUUGACUUAAGGGCUCGGCCAGCUCCCAAGCCUGCCCUACCCAUCUGUGAUUCUGACUUGUCCACCAAGCCCUAGCUCUAAACCUCACUCUACUCAUAUGUAUUCUUGCACUAUUGUCCUUGAACCUUUCUCUACUACCUAUGAUUCGAACUACCUGAACUUUUAGGCUGACUUUCCUGUUUCCCGUUCUGCGGUUACUAACUAUAGAAUCGAACUGGGACAUAUAAAGGAUAUUAACCGGGCAUAUAAGAGCGGAACCUGUACUAACAAGGCCUUAGCUACUUACUAAAAGAAUGGAACUGCACCUAAGGGAUUGGACAACCGAAAUACUAUACAAUAAAUCCACUAGUACUGGAAGGACGGAGAUACUACCCUAUCUGGAAAGAACUCAACCCGGACUGGGAACCCUCAAGCUAACUCUCCUUGUCUUGUAUUAACUCUAUUGCUUAUUAGCUGCAAACUGCAACUUAUGCUAUACCAAUACUGGGGCUACCAGCAACCAGGCUUUCACUACUUAUAUCAAUUCUCAAUGUCCUAUCUCUUUAUUCCAACCUACCGGGGCGCACUCGCAUUCUUUAGCUCCUUUGAACAUCACUUGUAAUAACUUCUUAAAGGAAUCGAACGAACAACUAGGAUUACACUAGAGAACAGGAG
rnacentral:lncRNA from 1 species